rnacentral:rRNA from 1 species
GGCCAGAAUGGGAACCGGGGGUGGAUUCGGUGGGGGGGGGGGAAAUGCAAGUGGCAAUGCCCGGGGGCUCAAAACCUCCUGGGUUGGCCCAGGGCCAGGNCCCGGCGGGUCAGAUCACCAGGAGGGGAUCGGCAAUGCCGUUGAUCCCCGGGGAAUCGAUUUCGGGGCCGUGAAAAUNCGUCCUCGUCAGGUCGGGCUUUUUCAAGGUCCCGCCGUCCAAAUCCCCAGGGCUCCAACCCUCGGACAGGCGGUGGAAACUCACCAAGCUCGGAGUCACGGUCAGGGGCAGAGGGAAUUUCCCGGUCGGAGCGGUGAAAUGCGUCAGAGAUCCGGAAAGAACACCAACGGCGAAAGCACUCCUCGCUGGGCCGACACUGACACUGAGAGACGAAAGCUCAGGGGAGCGAAUCGCCCGAUUCAGAUACCCCAGUAGUCCCUAGCCGUCAAACGAUGGAUACUCAGGCGCUGUGCGUAUCCGACCCGUGCAGUGCUGUAGCUCAACGCGUUAAGUAUCCCCGCCUGGGGAGUACGUUCCGCCACACCCAUGAAACUCCAAAGGAAUUG